rnacentral:rRNA from 1 species
UACGAAGGGUGCAAGCGUUAAUCGGAAUUACUGGGCGUAAAGCGUGCGCAGGCGGUUCGCUAAGACAGAUGUGAAAUCCCCGGGCUUAACCUGGGAACUGCAUUUGUGACUGGCGGGCUAGAGUAUGGCAGAGGGGGGGUAGAAUUCCACGUGUAGCAGUGAAAUGCGUAGAGAUGUGGAGGAAUACCGAUGGCGAAGGCAGCCCCCUGGGCCAAUACUGACGCUCAUGCACGAAAGCGUGGGGAGCAAACAGG